rnacentral:rRNA from 1 species
UACAGAGGGUGCGAGCGUUGUCCGGAAUCACUGGGCGUAAAGGGCGCGUAGGCGGCCUGGUAAGCGUGCGGUGAAAGCCCGGGGCUCAACCCCGGGUCGGCCGUGCGAACUGCGAGGCUGGAGCACUGUAGAGGCAGGUGGAAUUCCGGGUGUAGCGGUGAAAUGCGCAGAUAUCAGGAAGAACACCCGUGGCUAAGGCGGCUCUCUAGUACGUGACUGACGCUGAGACGCGAAAGCGUGGGGAGCGAACAGG